UACAGAGGGGGCAAGCGUUGUUCGGAAUUACUGGGCGUAAAGGGCGCGUAGGCGGCCUUCUAAGUCGAACGUGAAAUCCCCGGGCUCAACCCGGGAACUGCGUCCGAUACUGGAAGGCUUGAAUCCGGGAGAGGGAUGCGGAAUUCCAGGUGUAGCGGUGAAAUGCGUAGAUAUCUGGAGGAACACCGAUGGCGAAGGCAGCCUCCUGGGCCAAUACUGACGCUCAUGCACGAAAGCGUGGGGAGCAAACAGG
rnacentral:rRNA from 1 species